CUCGCGAUAGCUCAGUUGGUAGAGCGGAGGACUGUAGUGGGCAGUAUAAGAUAUCCUUAGGUCGCUGGUUCAAAUCCGGCUCGCGAGA
rfam:Lingula anatina scaffold28, whole genome shotgun sequence.